UUUCUCUUGAUGGAGCUUUUGAUUCCUUCAAUUAUAUGAUUCAUAUGCACCCAACUCCUGCUAUGUCUUCCUUCAGUAUUUUGUUUUCUGCACUUGUUAAGAAAAAACAUUUUGAUCAACUUCUUGUGAUGUACACGAGAUUCAUUUCAGCUGGGUUGUUGCCGGAUUUCUUUAUUUUGAAUAUUUUAAUUGAUUGCUUAAGAAAAAUGGCACGCGAUUCUGAUGGUUUUGUAGUUCUUGGGAGUAUUUUUAGGAGGGGUUUUUACCCAAACGCUUUGACUUUUAACAAUCUGAUUAAUGGUCUUUGUAUGGCGGGCAAGAUUAAGAAGGCCAUUGAAUUUUUUGGGAAAAUGGUUUCGGUUGGUUGUAGACCGGAUGUGGUUACGGUUGGGACUUUGAUUACUGGGUUGUGUAGAACUGGUAAUGUCACUGUUGCCCUUCAGUUGUUUGAAGAAAUGAAUGACGGGAAUGGUGAAUUUGGUGUCAUUUGUAAGCCUGAUAUUGUUUGCUAUACUAGAAUUAUUGAUGGUGUUUGCAAAUAUGGGUUAGUAGACAAGGCAAAGAAACUGUUUUCAGUAAUGAAGACCGAGGGCAUUAAUCCAGACGUGAUUACUUACACCACUCUAAUUUAUGGUUUGUGUAAUACAUCUAAUUGGGAGGAGGCUAAAACUUUGUUUAUAGAGAUGUUGGAGGAAGGUGUAAAACCUAAUGUGGUGACAUUUAACGUGGUAAUUGAUAAGUUCUGUAUCAAUGGAAAGAUGGAUGAAGCCAAUGGGUUGUUCCAACUAAUGAUUAAUAGAGGUGUUUGUCCCAACACAAUAACUUAUAACAGAUUUUUGAGUGGUUUUUGCUUGGCAGGUCAAAUUGAUGAUGCUAGAAGGCUAUUUGAUUCCAUGGCAAGUGUGGGGUGUAAGCCUGAUGUUUUUAGCUACAAUAUUUUGAUGGAGGGUUUAUGCUUGACAAAUAAAAUUGAUGAUGCCAAGGAAGUUUUAGCCUCAAUGUUGAGUAUGGGAUGCACACCUGAUGUAGUUAGCUACAAUACUCUGAUCAAUUGGUAUUGCAAGAAUCAAAAAAUUGAUGAAGCCUUGAAUCUUUAUGAGGAAAUGACUUCCAUGGGAGUUAGGCCAAAUGUUUUUGCUUAUAAUACCUUGCUAUCUGGGCUUUUUAGGAACGGUAAUGUCAGACAUGCAAAAAUGCUAUUUGGUAAGAUGCAACUUAGUAAUUUGCCUCCCGACUUAUUUACGUAUAGUAUUCUUAUUGAUGGUUAUUGCAAAAAUGGUUGUGUUUUGGAGGCUGUUGAACUGUUCUAUACUUUAAUAAAUCGAAACAUUCAACCUGACAUCGCAACUUUCAAUUGUCUCAUUAAUGGGUUGUGCAAAACAGGGAGACUCAAUAUUGCUUGGGAAAUGUUCAACAGAUUACAUAGUAAUGGCUUUGUUCCAGAUGUUAUUACAUAUAACAUUAUAAUGCAUGGAUUUUGUAAGGAAGGAAAGUUAGAAAUGGCAAGUAAAUGUUUCUCAGAUAUGGAGCAAAAUGGUGUUGCGCCAGAUUUGGUCACUUUCAAAACGCUUAUGUCUGGUUUCUUGCAGAAUAAUGAGACUUUAAAAGUGGUGGAACUUCUUCACAAAAUGAAAGAGAGAAAUGUGAAACCAGAUGCAUCCAUAGGUUCAAUAAUAUUAGAUUUACUGGGAAAGCAUGAAGAUUAUCGUGAAGUCCUGAAUUUGCUACCAUCCUUUUCAACCCAAGAACCAACAGGAUGUUGAUUGUUGAGUAAGUGCAUUUUCCAGGGGAGUAUAGCUUAUCAAGAGAGCCCUGGCAAACGUUAAAGUUUCCGUGUAAAGGAAAAUACUGACAAAGAUGCUCGUAAGGUUGUAGAUGGUUUAGCACCUAAGGCCACUGAUCAAAAUGAUGCUAUUGAGAAAUGGAAUCUUUAUUUCUUUGGAGAGAUGAAUCCUCUUGAUGAAGUUUCUAGUAAGAAGUUGGUGGUAGCUGAUGCUAAGUUGAACUUCGAUGAUGAUGCUGCCUUCCUGGUAGAAGGGAAUAUCUCUUGUGAUCCAUCACUAGAGGGUCCUUGAGAGGUUUCGAUACAUUUACUUCCCUUGAGCAAGGCCCAGCUCUUUUUCAGAAGAUUGAGCCUCAAGCUUGGCUCGGGCUCGCCAAGCCCGGUGGAACAUGAGUUCAGUUUUGGCUCACUUCUUAAUUUUAAGUUUUUGUUUGGCUUAUACUUAUCUUGAGUUCGUGUCUACUAACCAAACUUUGCUCAGGUUCACAUGACUCGGCUUCGGGCUCGUCUUUUAGGCUCAUGUCAAAACUAGAGUUCUCCCUUCUCAACAUUAUUAACAAUUAGAUUAUAAAUGUACAUGAGGAACUAUUAAUUAUGGUGUCAACAAUACUAGUGUGCAACAAAUUAUAAAGUAGUUUCUCACUUUGCAUGA